rnacentral:lncRNA from 1 species
UGGCUCUCAUUCCCACUGCACUUCAGACACCCUGAGAACAGAAUGAAAAACAGAAACCAAGUGCUUAAGGGUCAAGAGUUUGUGCAAGACCAUAGACCUUCACAGUUCUUUCUUUCAAAGGACACAUAGCUUAAUAAGAGGAGAGAAAUUUAAUGACAAAUAAGGGUACACAGUGCUAAUCAAAGUCCUUUAGUCAAAAACACUCUAACACGUUGGAUAAAGGAGCCUGUCCGUAGUAGCCUCUCUUCCUGCAGCCAACAUUAAAACUGCUUCCUCAGAGGAAGAGGAUAAAUAAGUGCCAGACAGUCAGUCCUUUGAACUUCAGCCAAUAUAAAUAUCAUGCCGCUGUCAUGAAAAUAAACUUAUUUGCUUAAUCCACUUCCUCUUGAUAAUAAACAACUUAGCCCAAGGCCUAGUGUAUAGAGUUAUGUUUAGCACUAGCAGAGAAGCUGGUAAAAAAACUUUCUCUCUCAAGAAAUAAUCUCCAUACAUUUCCUAGGGAAGUUCUGUUUUGCGUGUGUGUAAUCUUGGGAGGAGCUCUGAAAGCAUCCAGUUCAGCUCUUCAUCUAAUGAGACAUUUUUCUCAGACCUUCACUACACACUAAAGAGAAGGAAAGAUGUGAAGCCAGGAGGCGGCGGUUGUAGUGAGCCGAGAUCGCGCCACUGCACUCCAGCCUGGGCGACAGAGUGAGACUCCGUCUCAAAAAAAAAAAAGAGAAGGAAAGAUGGAAGGGACUAGAAAAUCCUGAGAAAAGACCCAACGCCUCACAUAUUUGAUGUCCAAAAGGACAUCCAGAAGAAUAGGUACUCUUAUUCUGUCCUCUAACUGGAUCUCACCUGUCCAGUCCAAUCUUUGUUUCUUGUUCUCUCACGAUGUAGAGGCUUUACCACACAACGCAUUCUGAAAUAAGCAGUAAUCCCUCAGGCCCUGCGUGAAAACAAAAACUGGUUUGUAAAUCUGAGUCAAGAGAUAAUUAUUGUUUGAACACACACAAUGAGGACCUAUGUAAAAAUGGAAAGCAAGCUUGUCUUUGACACAUCUCAGUGGAAAACAGCAUCAUGUUAUGAAACAAGUAUGGGCUUUGGGGUCAGAGAAACUUAAGUUGGUUGUUUGCCUUCUUAUUACAUUGACUCGGUCAAUCAUUUAAAUUUUCUAAACCUUGGGUCCUUGUUUGUAAGAGGAGAAUAAUAAGUUCAGCUUAUGAAGUUAUUGGGAGCUUUGAGUGAAAUGCUGUAGUAGCUGCUUAUAAAUGCGAUUUCUUUCCUCCCUUCCCCUGGUAUGCUUGUUUCCUUGACCCUCCCUCUGAGUGUGCGUAUACAAGCUUUUCCAUUUUCUCCUAAAACCAACAAAUUAGGAGAAAAGGGUGUUUUCUCAGGCAGGAGUCAUUUUACUUUGUGUGCAAAAGUCUCCAAGGUUCAGUCCCUGUGGAGCAAAUCAUCCCUCUGAGUUUGGGAAUGGCUUUAUGCAACAGAGGCGUGUGAGAUGGCUUUUAGAAAUCUAGUGGCUGCAAGGUGGAAAAUGGCCAGCUUCAUGGCCCCACUCCCUGCUUCCUGUCACUUGAGCCUGUGCAGAUUCCCCACACCUACAAUUAGCAACUGGCGGCCUUUAAAAGCGCCUCGCCUCACUGUGCUUUUUACCUGUCUCUCACGGGAGACCUAAAUGUGCUGUGACGCUAAUAAACCUGGAAUUAUUCCAUUUUAUCAAGUUGUCGGCUGACAGUGAGGAUGAGAAAUCAUGAAAAACCAACCACCACAUUAUUCGUUAUCUUUGGGACCAGCUUGAAGGGUCUGACCAUCUCCUUGGCUGUGCUUUACAUUCCUAACCCCGAUGACCUCUGUCUCCCCAGGAGCAGCCUUCUCGUCAUUGGCAUCAGUGCAAUACUGAAUGACAGAUUAGAGAGAGGAUCUUCAGAGAUUAUUACUGCGAUUCUCAAGUAACAGCAUGGCUGGGAAACACCAACCCUGGUCCCAUACUGCCUACGUUUACAUUAAUGCCACCACUUUGUGGCUGUGCAACAAUGGGCAAGUUAUUGAAUCUUCUUUUUCAUCACUUGUGAUAUGAAGAAAACAUUAUAUCUACUUCCAAAGAUUGUUGGGAAGAAUUAACAAGCUAUGCACUUUCAUUGUAAAAGUGCCUGGAUCAAAGGACUCACUCAAUACGUGCUAAUAGCUAUUUUUUAAUUUGCACGUAAGAAGACUGAGGUUCACCAAGGGCAAGAUAUCUCCUCCAAAGUCACAUUACAAAUUAGGGGAUGAAUCCAUACUAAGAAAUAGGUUUCUAAAUAAUCACUUUUUAACCAUUCUCCAUUUGUCUGUGACACUUCACUUACAAUCUAAAAUAUCCUUUGCCCUUAUGAACUUCACAAAAUAAUCCUUCAUCCUGAAAAUAAAUAUAUCUCUGCUCCAGCUAUAUUUGGGUAUAUUGGUUAUAAUCUUAAAGAGAACAAAGUCCAGUGGUAAAUAUUGAUGAGGAAACAGAGUUUUCUACACCUUGUGGCUGGUGUUAUAACAAAAUAUGAAAAUGGAAGUCCCAGUAAGGACUGUAGUGGUUCCUUCCACCUGAAUAGGUCAAUGUGGGAAUGGCACUGAAAGAGUCACAGAAGAGAUGACACAUAAAUCCUCGUGAAUAAUGUGUCUGAGUUCGACAGAAGGAAAAUAAUAUGGUCAGGGAAGGGCAUUGUGAAUCUACUCAUUAUUCAUGCAUGCAUGAAUGCAAAAAAUAUUUAUUGAACAUUACAAUUAUCCCACUAGGACAGGCUACCUUCAUCUUUUAUUUGAGUUACUGCAAUUUCUCCCUUAACUCGUCUCCCUUCAUACAAACCUUACUCCUAGCUUAUAAACAGAGGGAUGUUUUGAAAAUGCAAAUUUAAUCACAAUAUAAUCAAACCCACAUACAAGGGAUGAUCUCCCUUCCCUCCCCUCCCCUCCCCUCCCCUCUCCCUCCCUUCCCUUCCCAUUUGAUACCACUGCUCAAAUUCCUAAGUUCAAAAUGUCCUACAUUCGGGGGAGGAGCCAAGAUGGCCGAAUAGCAACAGCUCCGGUCUACAGCUCCCAGCGUGACCAACACAGAAGACGGGUGAUUUCUGCAUUUCCAUCUGAGGUACCGGGUUCAUCUCACUAGGGAGUGCCAGACUGUGCUCACUAGUGGGCGCAGGCCAGUGGGUGCGCGCACGGUGUGCGAGCCGAAGCAGG